AGGACUUUUCUGUGGUGAAACUGACAGUGUCCAGUGAAAAGAACACAAACGACACAACCACUGAGAGAAACAGUGAGCGGCUCCACGAACGACACUGAGCACGAGCCAGAGAUUGAUUGCCGUCUUUCUCACAAGACCCCAACAAGUAAAGAAUGGCCGUCAGCAGUGACUAUGACUAUGAGCUCUUUGUAGUCCACAAUGAGAGUGAACUCAACGUAGAACCUCAAGAAGAGCAAUCAGCAUUUCAAGUCUAUGCUGCUCAUCUUCUGCAUCAGUUUGCCUGGAAACAGCUUCCUGCUCUGGGUGCUUCUGAAGGAACGAGCCUGGAGGACCACAUGUGACAUCUUCCUUCUGCAACUCACAGUUUCCAACCUUUGCUUCACCGUGACCCUGCCCUUUAUGGCCAGCAAUGUUCUCCACAACUGGGUGUUUGGGGAGUGGACCUGUGGAGUCGUGAGAGGGUUUUUUAUCCUGGGAAUGAACAGUUAUGUGAUAAUACUCACUGCUGUGAUUUUGCAUUGUUAUAUGACUGUUGUUCACGCUUCACGUCUGUCUUCACAGGCCUUCAGUAAACGGCGUGUCCUUGUGGGCAGCAUUGUGAUCUGGCUGGCAUGUGCUGUCCCUAGCAUUGAGAAUUCAGUGAAUAGCCUAGUCAUAGAUUUAGGUUUUGGUGAAGUGUGUGUUACUGUGAAGUCAUUCUUUAUGGUUUUCUUUGACAUCUACAUGUUUAUUAUCUUUUUCUUCCUCCUUCCUUUCAUUAUCAUCACAUUCUGUUAUGUCCACAUGUGGAUACUCAUCAAACAACGCAAGAUAACGAGACAGGACCAGCCUUCAAAACUGAUUUUAGGGAUAACUAUUGGUUAUUUUCUUUGUUUGGCUCCUCACGAUAUUUUCGCCUUUAUAGACACUCUGUUCAUCUUGCACAAUUAUGACUCUGAAUAUAGGCAUGCGUUGCUCCAUGCCAUGUUCAUUAUUUACCCACUGGCUCACUUCUAUUGCUGCCUGAGUCCUCUGUUCUACAUAUUUGGAGCCCAGAGGUUUAUAAAGCAUCUCCCUGGACCAUGUAACAGAGAUGGAGAUGGGGGUAACGAUGACACAGCAGCAUUCAUCACUCUAGAAGAAACUGCUGAGUGACAACCAAGCUUUUCAUUUGUGUAAAUACUUGUAAGAUAAGGGUAUGUUAUUUUUUCAUGCUUUAACCAUACUUCAUGAUUCAAAGUGACUCCUGACAGUUACCAAUCAUGAAUGUUUUCUCAGCCUUGUCAAUCGUUGGUGGAAAAAACAAAUGCAUGCCAGUAUGCAUAAGGAAUGCUUUUCACUGUUGCACUUUAACUUGCUGUGUUAGCACUGUGCAGGGCCAGCUCUGGACAUCAGGGGGCCCUAAGCAGGAUCACUUUGUGGCCCUGCCUUGCGGUGGUUAGUAGAGUAUUGCCAUCGCGAACCAGCAACUGUAUAGAAAACCUUACACAUUUUGUUUGUAUUUGAUUUUAAUUUGCUGGGACACAGUAAUUUUGCUGCGUAGACAAAGUAAAGCUUACAGAUUUGCCACAUUUCUACUGCAACUUUGUUACUAUUGAAAUCCUUAAUAAAUGCGGAAACGCCAAAA